rnacentral:sRNA from 1 species
GUUUGAUAUAUGUUGAAAUCUGAGACUGUUCAAAUAACCACGUGUCAUGAUCUUGUGAGUUAUUAAUUUUUAAAACCGUACUUUAU